CCUCACACGCGAAAGGUCCCCGGUUCGAAACCGGGCGGAAACAGUGUUACUUUUGGAUUAUUUUUCAGUUCUAGUUAUUGUUUCCCUAGCGUCCCCUGAGUUUGGAGGCUAUCACACGAAGAAAAGGAAAUGAGUGUGUUUGUGUGUUUACCUGUAUUUCUGUUUGGAGGAGCCUGUGAGGCAGUACCGUAGUAGACCACGCUCUCCGUAAGUGCUUCAAAGCAAAGUAGUUCUCGCACCUCUCAACUAAUCUCUUUGUUCUUACCCUCAGAAGCCUGCCCAACCACCUCUCCCUUGUAGAGGUGGGCCUUGGCUUCAGACCCUCAGCCCUAAUCCCUAGGACAGAGGCAGGCACACAGUAGGUACUCCAUAAUGCUUGUGAGGCUGCUUUUCAGCGUCGCUGGAUUCUUACUGAUUUAUCUUGCUCUCCUGGGACAGAAGGUAAUUUUCUCACAGCUGCCCGGCUAGCUCAGUCGGUAGAGCAUGAGACUCUUAAUCUCAGGGUCGUGGGUUCGAGCCCCACGUUGGGCGGUUACUUAGAGACUUUUUCCCCCUUGGAAACUAAGCUAGAUUUUUUUUUUUUUUUUUUUUUUUUUUGCAGGCAGAAAAUAGAUUUAUUAAGAUAUGAUGCUUGUGCUAGAUGCAAGAAAGCAGUCAAGGAGACUCUGAAAAGCAAGAAUUCUUGAUGCAAGGGUAGCAAAGUACACUCCAAACUCAUCCCGCAUCCAGGAUCCAGACCAUCGCCCGCAGUAGCUAAGCCAAAGAACCCCCAGGUGGUAGUGCAACCAGCUUUACAACCUAUCGUUUCUCACAGAGAAGAGUGACGGGUGGGUGUUUGAGGACAAAUUCUUUGGUGACUGCUUCUCGGUCUAUCAUUCCUCUUGCUGAAAUCUGUCUAUUAUCUUUCAACAUGCGUUCUGCACCCUCUAUUUACCAAACGACUCACCCAGGUAUCCAGGGCAAGUGCCCUGGGAAGGAGAGCAGGAGUAACUUCCAGAAGCUGUUGUGGGAACCAAGGGCCGCCACAUUAGCGACCACCUUACCAGAUGUAAACCUAACUAAGAAGGCCAGAGCCCAGUCAUGGAACUUGAAGCCCUAGAGAAGUGAGGAGUGAAGAAUUUUGGACCCCUCUUGGAAGAAUUCUCCCAGAGUUUCCCCUGCUGACCCAAUUUUUUCCCCUUAUGUUUUACUGACUGAUUUGAGGUGUGUCAGUACCCUUCCCACAUCCCUGGCUCCAGACUGCCAGAGUGUUUCUUGCAUCUCCUCCAAGCUGGCCUCUUUGGGGGCCCCAGGACUCUAGGAGGCCAGGACUGGUACUCAAUCUUGCUGCUCUUCUUCAGGUGGAUUGUGGUCUGCGCCUCAGCUAACAUAAGAGCUCUCAUCUGUCUUCUUUGGGGAACAGUAAACAAAUCCAGUGCAACACAAUUAACACUGAAGAACCUGCAGGCUGGGCAAUAAACUCCCCAGGAAACUGUCUCAUGUGCGUCAUAUUUCUUUGGGGAUACAUUUAUUGCUAACUUAUCAGUAGGGCUCAACAGCUUUCCUAGAUUCAUCUUGUUUCAAUUAAUACUAAAAUUAUUCUCUUUUUGAUGUUUAAAUUGUAGCUGCCUAUCAGAUAAGUUUUAUCCCUUAAAAUUUGCCCCAUGUCCUUUCUAGCAUUGUCCAUUGACAGUUUGAAAGCAC
rnacentral:lncRNA from 1 species